rnacentral:rRNA from 1 species
GCAUAUCAAUAAGCGGAGGAAAAGAAACUAGCCAGGAUUCCCCUAGUAACGGCGAGUGAAACGGGAAUAGCCCAACUUGAAAAUCUCUUCGGAGAAUUGUAGUCUAUAGAAGCGCCCUCUGUAGCGGCGGGACCCCAAGUCUGGUGGAAGCCAGCGUCAGAGAGGGUGAGAACCCCGUCGGGUCUACGCUUAGCUGCUUCACGAGGUGCUUUCCACGAGUCGAGUUGUUUGGGAAU